AGGACAGACAAAUUUUUGUGCAAGAUACAAGUAACUUUGAGAUAUAUCAAAAAAUUAACAGUACUAUGCAGCAUUAGAGUUGCAAGACAGGAAAAGUACAGGGGCAAAGAAGAUAACAAAAUAUCGGCAUUUGAACUUUAGUUAAUUUACUGUAAUUUGUGGUGCCUAUUGCAAGACAGAAAAGAAUACUGAUGUUUAGUUUGAACACGUUGCUGAAUACUGCGAUGGCCUAAUUCUGGUGAAUGCGGCGAUUGUAUUAUUUAUGAAAUGUUAGUGCAGCAUCAAGACAACUUGCUUCAUUCUCGGAAACUGAUUAUAUUGUACUAAGGACACGAAUUUACAAUCAAAAAGAAACCAGAAAACUAUUAUAAUUUAUUAAUAUAUGCGUGGCAGAGCUGUUAAUUUAUUGUAUAAUGAAUUGGUGAAAAAACAUAGAGCAAUUUUAUAAUUUAUGUAAUGUUAUUGCAGCAUCAAGACAACUUACUUCAUUCUCGAAAACUGAUUAUAUUGUACUAAAAAAUGAAUUGACGUCUUAUUACAAUCAAAGAGGAACCAGAAAACUACUAUAAUUUAUUAAUACAGGUCUAGCACAGCAUUUAAUUUUCUGUAUAAUGAAUUGAUAAUGCCUAAUAAUUUACAGUAUGUAAUGAAUUUGGUUAUGAAGAUAAUAAAAAAUACAAGUAGUGCUGUUUUGA